GGAUGUGGGGGCGAUCUGACUGUGACAUCUGCCACCCCAUUGAUCGCCAGGGUUGAUUCGGCUGAUCUGGCUGGUUAGGCGGGUGUCCCCUUCCUCCCUCAGCACUCCAUGUGAGUCCCUCCCGAAACUGCGCUCUUGGUUGAAAAGGACGACCACCCCCGAUGGAGAAGGACAGUUCCUCGGUCAAGGGUAUAGGAGAUGCUGCGCUCCCCUGCUAGAACCUCCGAACAAGCUCUGUUCCAAGAGGUGAGAAGCGAACGUUACACAAGCAACUUGACCCAAGUAACAACUACAGUAUCGUAGGAUGU
rnacentral:snRNA from 1 species